CCGAAAUGCAGCGGGGCUCCGGCCCUGCGUACGCAUUCCACCCACCCUUGACUUUGAGCACCUUUCUUUCCUCGGCAGGGACGCCUGCCAUUGAGGACACCCAAGAACCUUUGCAGUAGCAGUAUUUGUCUAAACAAACCAAAACUAUUA
rnacentral:misc_RNA from 1 species